rnacentral:lncRNA from 1 species
AAAGCCUUUUUACACUAAUAAAAACAUGAAUGUAAAAAUAAUAGAUAAAACAAAUCGAGACAAGCAUAUAUACAUAUUUGAAAAAGAAUUAAGUGACACUAGGAUAAAAGAAAACUGUUCUGCGCUGUGGCAUGAAAAAGAAAAAUGUAUUGGUCAAUUUGACGGUUUUAGUUUUUGGCACAGCCAGUUGAAUGUUGAACGUAUUCGCAUACUAAACUUUAAGAUGGUCACCGUGUUUCGUAUCACGCGGAUGUUGAUAGUUAAUGCAUUUGUACAUGCAGUCUAAAUAGUUAUUUGGUUUAUCUUUUAUACAAACACUGCCCUGUUUAAACUGUGUCAAGGAAAUUAAAACAUAAAAAUAUAACUCAGUUAAAUCUGGAUUGAAAACUUCACAAAAUGGGCCAAGGGACAGGAUCAGGGACCGGCGGACCAAAAUUCUUCUGGGGAUUGUUGUGGUUCCUCGCAAUAUGGUUUAUAGCAUGGCCGGUGGCUUUCUUCCUGGCCUGGCUGUACAUCUUUCUACUGCCAUUUAGCGUCUGCAUAGAUCCAUUAAAGGAUGUAUGUCAAUUCUUGCAAAAAUGUGUGCAACUACCUUUAACAUGUGCUGAAAAUAUGGUAGCAAUGAAACCGAUGUGUUAAUUGUUUAAAAGAUGCAACAUUAACACGAUGAAUGUAUGGAUGCAAGGAAACCAGUGUAUGUGUAGCAGUUUUUAAGGUAGUGGACCUGAAAUGACCUUCUCGCUAGUCAGUCGUGCAACAUCGGGCAUUUCCGUAUUCUCCGGUAAAUCCGUCUAUUGCGUAGCAUAAAGGCCGAGGUGAUCAGAUUGCUCGCUAGUGUGACUUUCCGUAAAAUCCCGAAGAAUACCGAAGUCGCAUACGGAGAAUACGCCAUUUCCCGAUUGUCCUUACAGACUCACGCUGAAAAGUAUUGAUACCAUGAAAAAAACAGUGUUUAACUUUAUAAUGUAAAUAAAAACAUCGCUGCUAAAAGCCUACUAUUCUUAUGUAAGCAACAGCCAUUGUUAACAUUACUUUAAAUUCUGAAACAAACAAAAAAUGUUUUCAUUCCCUAUGUAUGUAACACUAUUUUAUUUUAUGAAAAAAUAAGUCACCUUGUAUUUUUUAUGGAAAUUAGUUUUAUUGUUGUUUUUUAAUUUGAAAUAAGGGAGACUCAAAGAAACCAAAUGGAUGAGUACAUGUAUAUAAUUAUACAAGUGAAUGCCUAUACUGUGGUAAGCGAAUAGAAUAUUGUGUUGGUUUGGCUGCCUGUAAUUUGAUUAUUAUUAUUCACUGUUUAUUUACAUUUAUUCAUUAUUUUCUUAUAUCAUGAAUUAAUUUUAUUUGCUUAUUGAAUAUACUGAUUUAUAGAACUGGAUGUAAUUUUUUUUUUCGGCAGCGUAUAUUCACUUUAUUGUUUGUUUGUAUUCAUUGUUAAUUGUAGCUAUCCUGUGUGAUACGGGGAAAUCAAGCAUAAUAUGUAUACAUAAAUAUUAAUAGUAAUCUAAGA